rnacentral:rRNA from 1 species
GAUGAACGCUGGCGGCGUGCCUAAUACAUGCAAGUCGAGCGAACAGAUGAGGAGCUUGCUCCUCUGACGUUAGCGGCGGACGGGUGAGUAACACGUGGAUAACCUACCUAUAAGACUGGGAUAACUUCGGGAAACCGGAGCUAAUACCGGAUAAUAUAUUGAACCGCAUGGUUCAAUAGUGAAAGACGGUUUUGCUGUCACUUAUAGAUGGAUCCGCGCCGCAUUAGCUAGUUGGUAAGGUAACGGCUUACCAAGGCAACGAUGCGUAGCCGACCUGAGAGGGUGAUCGGCCACCAUGGAACUGAGACACGGUCCAGAAUCCUACGGGAGGCAGCAGUAGGGAAUCUUCCGCAAUGGGCGAAAGCCUGACGGAGCAACGCCGCGUGAGUGAUGAAGGUCUUCGGAUCGUAAAACUCUGUUAUUAGGGAAGAACAAAUGUGUAAGUAACUAUGCACGUCUUGACGGUACCUAAUCAGAAAGCCACGGCUAACUACGUG